rnacentral:rRNA from 1 species
AUUGAACGCUGGCGGCAGGCCUAACACAUGCAAGUCGAGCGGGUGAAGGGAGCUUGCUCCUGGAUUCAGCGGCGGACGGGUGAGUAAUGCCUAGGAAUCUGCCUGGUAGUGGGGGAUAACGUCCGGAAACGGGCGCUAAUACCGCAUACGUCCUGAGGGAGAAAGUGGGGGAUCUUCGGACCUCACGCUAUCAGAUGAGCCUAGGUCGGAUUAGCUAGUUGGUGGGGUAAAGGCCUACCAAGGCGACGAUCCGUAACUGGUCUGAGAGGAUGAUCAGUCACACUGGAACUGAGACACGGUCCAGACUCCUACGGGAGGCAGCAGUGGGGAAUAUUGGACAAUGGGCGAAAGCCUGAUCCAGCCAUGCCGCGUGGGUGAAGAAGGUCUUCGGAUUGUAAAGCACUUUAAGUUGGGAGGAAGGGCAGUAAGUUAAUACCUUGCUGUUUUGACGUUACCAACAGAAUAAGCACCGGCUAACUUCGUG